rnacentral:sRNA from 25 species
AGUUUUCCCUAUCGCGGGGACGGCGGAGUCAGUGCCGUCGCUCCUCGCGGUAGUUCUAUCGAAAGCCAGGAGGGCGGGCGCCACGGACGGCGCAUU